GUUUUGAGUUAGUGCAUGUAGCACCGCUGAUGUUAUGGUUAGUUGUUUGUUUCCUUUUGUAAGUUUCACUAAGUAAAAUAUGUGGAACUCAGAGCAUGCUGCGCCUUAGUCCGUCUCGCCACACAUCUGUGACAGUAGCAAUGUAAUACCCAUCUUCGUUCAAAGUACAGCAUAGACAAUCAGUGACGUUAUUCUGCCUUCCGGAAUAGGGAAGUCACAUUUCUGUGAGCAAACCAACAAGUUACAGAAAAUGGAGAAGAUCCUGCUAGUGCUGGUACUAAUCUCCAGAGUGUCUCUCACAGUCUUGCAAUGGAAAGCAACAGUUGGUCGGGAGGGCAAACUGAGAUGACCAUGGGAUUAAGAAUGUUGACAUCAUCCGGUGGGAAUCGCAGCUGGCCUGCUGGGACAGGGGCACAUCAAACAUGGAACCACGUUACAAUAUAACAGACAGAGGGGACACCCUGAUCACCAACAAUGUCACCAAGGAGGAUGCAAGGGAGAGCUACAGGUGGAAGAACAGCCUCAAUUCUUCGGGCAUGGACUCUACAAGGUGUCGAAAGUGUUCCACAGGUAUGCUGUCCCAUGUUGACUCCAAUGCUUCUCAGUUGUGCCAAGUUGGCUGGAUGUCCUUUGGGUGGUGGACCAUUAUUGAUACACAUGGGAACUGUUAAGUGUGAACAACCCAGCAGCGUUGCAGUUCUUGACACACUCAAACCAAUGUGCCUGGCACUUACCAUUCUCUGUUCAAAGGCAUUUACAUUUUGUCUUGCCCAUUCAACCUCUGAAUGGCAUGCAUACACAAUCCAUGUCUCAAUGCUUAAAUCUUUAACAUGUCUCCUCCCCUUCAUCUACACUGAUUGAAGUGGAUUUAACCAGUGACAUCAAUAAAGGAUCAGUUUUCACCUGGAGUCUGUCAUGGAAAGAGCAAGUGUUCUUAAUGUUUUGUACACUGUGUAUAUGCUAUUUAGCAGACGCUUUUAUCCAAAGCGACUUGGUCAUGCAUCCAUACUUUUAGAGCCAUUUUGUAUGUGUAAAGAAAAUGUAUUAGUAGAUAUUUGAUUUUGUCUUGAAUUGAAAUAGUUAUUGUAAUUGGAUAGUCCCUUAUUGUUAUUAUACCUAGUGGCCUAUUUUGGGUUUACCUGUAGGGAGUCAUAUUAGGGGGUUAUGGGUAAAGACCGAGAGGAAGCGAGUUUUUAUUCCGCUCAAUCUGUUCAUGAAAAUAACACCAGGAAGUGAGGAAUUGUUGUAUGGAGGUCAAUGAGAGUUCAUCCAACAUUCUGCUGAUUUCCUGUGAGGAUUAUUUGAUCUAAUAGAAGUUUCGUAAUGGUUCGGAUUGUUACAAAUGCACUGAUACUGUGUAAAUGUAAGCACACCACACUUCGGAAGCUUUUAAAAAAAAAUACUUUAUAUAGGAGUUGUGCCUGUUCACACAUGUAUCUGCCCUCAUUGGUUAGAAUGGUCCUAGCUGAUCUCGCCCACCUUCCAUUUUGAGGACAUGUGUUUCCAGUGUUGGAGCAGUCACUCGACCAUCUUGUCAAUAUAGAUAAUCUUUGGUAAAGAUGGUGUCAGGAACAUUAAUUAGGACAGGUAGCAGCCUGAUAGGAAUUGGAAGAUGCCAUAUAGACAAACAGUUUCUUUGGGACUUUGACUCUUUUCCAUUCAACCUUGGAAUCUGUGUGACGAUCUCAUGGAAAUUAAAUGAUAUUUAU
rnacentral:lncRNA from 1 species